AAGCUAUACUGAGUGAUGUACCAGGGACAUCUGGUGACCUUCACUUGGAUCCGUCACAUGUAACGUAAGUCAAUGGAGCAAGAUGGCAGCAGCAUCAACGUGCACUAACCACAUCUACAGAUGCAGUUCAGCUGCUAAGGUUCUCCUGACCAUGGAUGCAAAGGUCCAAGUUCUGCAGGUGACCUUUGCUAGGGCUCAUCUGGACCCCAGGUAACAGCAUGUCCUCGUGAUCUGCAUUUUUUUUUUCAUAAAGCAAUUAAAAAACAUUAGCCAAAAGCAGUCAAAAGAAUGUUAAGAGCAUUAGGUCAAACACUCAGAAGUUAGGAAACUUUAAACAAAAGUUACUCAUGCAAAUUUAAAUUGGCCCUCUUCUAUCAGGGGUACGACUGACUGGGUGCUGCUUAUUUAUUUUUCACAGGCUGGGUGCCCUUUGCAGCGCACUUGCUGAACAACGCUGUGGGAAUCAAUCGGGCUUGCGUGGGAGCAGCACCGACGGCAAAGGCCUCCCCCUCGCUUGCUGUGGGAAGUGCGGAGGUGCAGGCUGCAGGUCUGCUGUGUCCGUGGAGGAAUCUACACUGGAGAGUAAAACAGUUUGUUUUACAGUUGGCUUUAAAUAAUGCCAUCACCGCAGUUGUUCCGCAAGAUCUUCGGAGUGGCUUUUUUCUUGCUCACCUGCUAUGCCCUAGGCAGCCCUGCAGGACCUCGUUCUGUGUCCAAUGGCAGGCGCUUGCCUGAAGAUGGAGUAGAUGAAGCCUUGAUAUCAGAUUUGCUAUCAUGUGCUGAUGAAAUGGAUGACAUUCACCUUCCAUUACAGCAUUUAAUUUCCAGACUUGAAGGAGUCCUCCGUUUGGAAGGGAAGAUAACAGCAUCUGGAGGAAAAAUAUUUGCUACCAGUGGGAAAACAGCUGACUUCUAUACUACAGUGCAAAAAUGCAAACAGGCUGGGGGGUCCAUCGCCACGCCAAGGAACCAGGGCGAGAACGCUGCCAUCUUGUACUUUGUGAAACAGUUUAAUAAAGCUCACCAGGAUCCAUCUGCGCCCAUCAGCUCCCCACCCACAGCCUCAGCCUUGCGUGACGCCUGUUGUGAAAUGAGCCCUGCCACUGAGCACAAGGAAACAGGAACCCAGGCAUCACCUCGUACAGUAGUUUUCCACUCAUCCUAUUCCAGUAAAAUUUGAAAAGUUUGCAAUGAUUAACAUCAGCCCAAGAACAGCGUUGAAGCCCCCAAAUGUUUAAAGCUACGCAGGUCGAACGGCACCUUCUCUAACACGCUCUUGCUGCCCAACAACAGAGGAUGGAAGCCCACGCGAAGCAACCCAGUUCCAUCUGCGAGACUUGCACGACACCUCUAGGACACUAGGAAGGAAGAAAAAGGGGUCCUGUCCCUGUGGUGCCUGCCCAUCUGGCUCAAGCGCAUCUCGCCUUCAUCGCUUCAAACCACUGGGCUCACUUACUCAGUAGAGGAGGAAAACAGAGCCUACAUCUUCCUUCCUUCUCAGUGCCCAGCAUGUCCUAGGCCCUCUAUUUCCUGCUUGACAUGGUAUAGUCCAACUGAAGGUCACUGGAAGUUCAUUUUGUGGAGGUUUAACAGCUUCCAACUCUUGACACUGGGGAAAUCAUGAUGGAAACGAUCUUGGCACCAUGGGAAAUACUGCUGGUCAUUUUUGCUGCAGUGCUGAUAAUGAGUUUUCUUAUGUUUCUGCCCCCUGCUGCUGUGGUGCUCUGGAGAAUGAAGUAUAUUCCUCAGAUCUCUUUGCAUGGGUAUGUGUAGGCCAGCCCUAAAACACAAGGUAGUACCGUGGAUCCCUUUAAAGGAUGGUUCAAAGCAAUAAAAUCAGGUCCACUGUUACUGCUUAGGAUCCUUCCAAAGGUGAUGUUUUUCCCAGUCUAUUGCUGCCAAGCUCCUAUGAAAAGAGAACAUGUAUCGUUUUCUCUUCAUUUACUACAGUUUUCAGCACUUUGCCUUCUCUUUGUUGGCUACAUUGCAAUUGCUGUUAUUUGCUUAGUGCCUAGACUGACUUCUUCUCUUGGGUUAUAAAGGACUGAAGACUAAAAGAGAAGCAAGCGUAGUACAGUAUUCUGUUCCCUUAUCUAGUUUCAGUAAAGCAUGCCUAUUUAUAGUUACACUGUAAAUAAUACCAAAAAGUUUAACUGAGAUGUCUGACAGUUAUGCAGGUGGACAUAGUAAAAGCAAAUAGUAUACUCUGGGGAGCAAGUAGUUUAGCAUAGCUUUACUGUGAAACCUAAAAAAAAUUUAAAAAAGGAAAGGUGCAAUAAAUAGGCAUCUUUCCUUGUUUUGUCUGAUUUAAAACAUGCUGUCCUAAAAUGUUUUUCAAUUUUCUUUCCUACUGUAUGAGUUCUUCUCUUUGCAUGUCCUGAGGGUAAGGACACAAAGCCACCCCCGUCCCAGGGUGUGCACAGGAGCGUGAGGGGGAGCCUGAUGCUCAGACGUGCCAGCCUAGCCACCAGCUCUCAGUUAAUGCAAACAUACUGCGAUUAUUUGCCUGAACUGCAUUAUGCAAAUUCACUCCAGGAAACAGUGUGAUUAAGUGUACUUCAGUUUUAACUGUAUCGUGUAGGCUUAUUGGUUCAACUGCCCUUUCUCAUAUAUAAACAAUAACUUGGAACGUGGAAAUAGAACUAAAAUGCUUAUCUGUAAGCUUAUAGCAAAAGCAAUCUUUAGCUCAAAAUAUAUGCAGUAUUAAAUUAAGAGCCUAAUUCUUCCAUAUUAUAUGAAACUCAUUAGUAGAAUUUCCGAUGCACAGAUUUAAUCAUUUCUGUUACUUUACAGGACCAAUGGGCUUGAUUUUUCUCAUAAAAACCAGUAGUGGGUCUCUUUUGUUGGUUGGUUUUGAAAGGUAACUAGAAUACGUGAAUAUAUCUGGGAGAAAAAUGUUUCUUUUAGCAGCGGUAGAAAACUGAUAGUGGAAAGUGCUCAGUGCUUCAGGAUUGUUAUUUGAGCAAUGGCCAAUAAUGUAUUGGCUGGAAAUGAAAGACUCAAAGACAUUAUAACUUCAUUUUAUAUGGGUUAUAUGUCUGCCAAAAAUAAACGAACCCACCAAGGACUGAAAAACAGUUGCUUUUCAUUAAGACUGCAACGCUUUUCUUGCCAACACCAACUUGAGUUCCUGCCUGAAGGGUAAGGAGCCAAAGCAGGCAGCUCAUCCCUUCUGUGGGUGCAGCUCUCCACUACGGUAAUAAGGAGUCCUGUGACCAUCUGGUUAGGUUAUGGGCCUGAAAGCAACUGAUGAUUUUUAUGACUCUAGUGAGUAGAUUCUAGGCCUUUAAUUUUGAAUACCUGAAAGAUAGUUUGUAAUUUUCCUGAAUAAUGUUACAUAUAUCUGAAUCAUUUAAAUGAUUAUUGAGGUAAAAGUCAAUUAAAUACCAUGUACAGUGUAA